ensembl:snRNA RNU6-1298P RNA, U6 small nuclear 1298, pseudogene
UUCCUUUUAGCAGCAAAUAUACUAAAAUUGGAAUGAUACAAAGAUUAGCUUGGCCCCUGGGCAAGGAUGACACGCAAAUUCGUGAAGCAUUUUAUAUUUAA